CAACCUCAACUCAUAUGGGACUACCCCCUGAAUUUAAGCAUAUUAAUUAGGGGAGGAAAAGAAACUAACAAGGAUUUUCUUAGUAGCGGCGAGCGAAAAGAAAUCAGUUCAGCACUAAGUCUAUAUGGCAAAUGUGAGAUGCAGUGUACGGAACAUCAACAUUCUAGUAUGAGAAGUUAACGAUUUAAGUCCUUCUUAAAUGAGGCCAUUUACCCAUAGAGGGUGCCAGGCCCGUAUAACGUUAAUGAUUACUAGAUGGUGUUUCCAAAGAGUCGUGUUGCUUGAUAGUGCAGCACUGUGGGUGGUAAACUCCAUCUAAAACUAAAUAUAACCAUGAGACCGAUAGUAAACAAGUACCGUGAGGGAAAGUUGAAAAGAACUCUGAAUAGAGAGUUAAAUAGUACGUGAAACUGCUUAGAGGUUAAGCCCGAUGAACCUGAAUAUCCGUUAUGGAAAAUUCAUCAUUAGAAUUGUAAUAUUUUAAACAAUAUUAUAAUAAUAGUGUGCAUUUUUUCCAUAUAAGGACAUUGUAAUCUAUUAGCAUAAAUAUUUAUCAUAAAAUUAUGUCUGAUUGCUUAUUU
rnacentral:ncRNA from 1 species